UACGUAGGGUGCAAGCGUUGUCCGGAAUUAUUGGGCGUAAAGAGCUCGUAGGCGGUUUGUCGCGUCUGCUGUGAAAACUCGGGGCUUAACUCCGGGCCUGCGGUGGGUACGGGCAGACUAGAGUGCGGUAGGGGAGACUGGAAUUCCUGGUGUAGCGGUGAAAUGCGCAGAUAUCAGGAGGAACACCGGUGGCGAAGGCGGGUCUCUGGGCCGUAACUGACGCUGAGGAGCGAAAGCGUGGGGAGCGAACAGG
rnacentral:rRNA from 1 species